rnacentral:rRNA from 1 species
GACGAACGCUGGCGGCGUGCUUAACACAUGCAAGUCGAGCGGUAAGGCCCUUUCGGGGUACGACGAGCGGCGAACGGGUGAGUAACACGUGGGUGACCUGCCCUCCAGCUCUGGGAUAAGCCUGGGAAACGUAGGGUCUAAUACUGGAUAUGACUCCACGGUGCAUGUCGUGGGGUGGAAAGCCUUGUGCGGCUGAGGAUGGGCCCGCGGCCUAUCAGCUUGUUGGUGGGGUGAUGGCCUACCAAGGCGACGACGGGUAGCCGGCCUGAGAGGGCGACCGGCCACACUGGGACUGAGACACGGCCCAGACUCCUACGGGAGGCAGCAGUGGGGAAUCUUGCGCAAUGGGCGAAAGCCUGACGCAGCGACGCCGCGUGAGGGAUGACGGCCUGU